GGCCGACUAGCUCAGUUGGUUAGAGCGUGGUGCUAAUAAAAUGUUACGCCAAGGUCGUCGGUUCGACCCCGGCGUUGGCCA